AUAAAUGCGAUGAGGGAGACAAAAAUAUUUAAUAAUUGACUAAAGAGAGCUAACGGUUGGUGGAAGUUAGUGUUAAUGUAAAUAUAAUUAUCACUCCUGAGUUUCUGAGUUGAAAGGAUAGUUAUCUAAGUAAAUAAAGACGUUCACCAACGAUAAAUGGUUAGGGUUCACUAAAAAAUUUAUUUAUAUAAUAUGUUUUUAAAAGUCGACCUGAAAAAAGGGACAAUUAUUUUUAUAAUUGUAAAUAAGGUGGUACCGCGGAAGAGUUAUAGUCUUUCGUCCUUAAA
rfam:Clostridium tetanomorphum DSM 665 contig13, whole genome shotgun sequence.